rnacentral:rRNA from 1 species
CACACCGCCCGUCACACCAUGAGAGCUGUUUAUACCCAAAGUCGUCUUAGCUAACCUGAAAAGGAGGCGGGUGCCUAAGGUAUGUAUGGUGAUUGGGGUG